rnacentral:rRNA from 1 species
UACGUAGGGGGCAAGCGUUGUCCGGAUUUAUUGGGCGUAAAGAGCGUGUAGGCGGCCAUACAGGUCAGCUGUGAAAACUCGAGGCUCAACCUCGAGACGUCGGUUGAAACCGUAUGGCUAGAGUCCGGAAGAGGAGAGUGGAAUUCCCGGUGUAGCGGUGAAAUGCGCAGAUAUCGGGAAGAACACCCGUGGCGAAGGCGGCUCUCUGGGACGGUACUGACGCUGAGACGCGAAGCGUGGGGAGCGAACAGG